rnacentral:lncRNA from 1 species
GGCAGAGACACCAAARCAGCACAAUGUUCUUGUAUCAAAACACCUCAUUCCAGAAUUAGAUCUGAAUAAAAUCUCUCAGCUCUCUACUAAUGCUUAGGAACUAGCUCUUCUUGUUUGAGAUACUAAUAUUUGGAGUCUUACUCGGUGAAAAAUAGUGUGUCACUCAUUCAUGAAGUUAGCUGCUGUGCUGACAAGAAGAGAGAAGCAUGCAACAUUUGGAUCACACACUGUACUUUUGAUACAAAACCAUUUAGAGCAAGGAAGAGCAGUUUUGGCUAUAAAUGAUUUAGAAUGUUUUAUUAAAUUGAAUAUGUAUUCUAAUAGCAGAGAGGCACUUGCAAAAAUGCAUGGACUCCAAGUGCCUGUUGUUUUGGACUGAAACUUUUCUAAAUGAUUUUGGGUUGGUUAAGCAUUCACAAUUUUAUGUACUUUACAUUUCUCCCAUUGCAUAAUAGAACCCUGUGCUUUUCUCUGUGCAUAGUGCAGGAUUAUAAAUGCACGGAGAAAGCCGUAAUAGGUCCGCAGGAAGGAUGUGAGCACCACAGUUCAAGUACUUUGUGAUCUUCUCGAGCAGUCCUCCCACUAGUGCAAGAGGAGAGAGGUGGGUGAAGUCAGUCAUUGCAAUAGAUUAAGUUAAGCAACAAGAUUCCUCCCAUGAAACACUUGAGACUCUUUAUUUUUAUUUUAAAGCAGGAAAAUUCUUCAAUGCUGCUUGACAAACCUUUAGUUGAUCUCUUAGAUAAGCAGAUUAAAAAGGAUCCAUAAACUACCGAGUUUGUUGCAGCUAAGCCUGGCAUAUUGCCAUGCCUGAGAAAAAUUGUGUGUUUGUGGGAGCAAGAAGUCACCUAUUUGUGCAACUGCCUAAGACCCAUGAGGAUGAAAGAGCCUCAGCUUUUGUGGAGURCCUGCUUGUUCUUUGUUUCCACAGGCUGGGUGAGGGGAAUGAAUGUCUCCAGCGUAAAGGAGGAACUGGACAUCAGUUUCCUUCACUUACUUCACACGGGAGGUGAAUAUGCUGUACUUGGCAAUUCUAUCUUACCUGUGUCCGAGAAGUGUAGGACAACCAUCCAGGCUGACAGUAUUACCAGGCACAAGGUGUUUUUAUGAAAAGCUGCUGCCAUUUCCACAGCCGUAACUUAGGCUUCCUGUGAAUUUUCUGCAGAGGUGGAGCCAAAGGAGUUAGGGAAAGGUGGGAAGAAUGUGAAAUAGAAUCUCUUAUGUUAGACUCCACAUAGAUAUGUCUAAAGAAAUGUAUGUUUUACCAUUUUAGCUAUGCUAUUCUUUGCCACUUUGCAGUUUCACUUAUCAAAUUUGCUAGUAUAUAUGAUUUGCUUCAUCAGUGCAACCCUGAGAAGGAAAAUACUGUGUUUAACUUGAGCCAGGCUGUGUAAGCCUGACUGACUUUAGUGGUUUAGCAUUUACAUGUAAAUACCAUUUUUAUUUAUCUGUAUUUCUGAAUUUUGUGGCUUACUCAUAUCCUUUAUUGUAUGUGCUUUCUUUGUUUUGUGAUGGUUUGGAUCUGCCAAAAAGUACAUAAGAUAAAAAAAAGAAUAUUGAUUUUUU